GUGGGGAAUAUUGGGCAAUGGGCGCAAGCCUGACCCAGCAACGCCGCGUGAAGGAAGAAGGCUUUCGGGUUGUAAACUUCUUUUGUUGGGGACGAGUAGAAGACGGUACCUGACGAAUAAGCCACGGCUAACUACGUGCCAGCAGCCGCGGUAAUACGUAGGUGGCAAGCGUUGUCCGGAUUUACUGGGUGUAAAGGGCGUGUAGCCGGGUUGGCAAGUCAGAUGUGAAAUCUAUGGGCUUAACUCAUAAACUGCAUUUGAAACUGCUGAUCUUGAGUAUCGGAGAGGCAAUCGGAAUUCCUAGUGUAGCGGUGAAAUGCGUAGAUAUUAGGAGGAACACCAGUGGCGAAGGCGGAUUGCUGGACGACAACUGACGGUGAGGCGCGAAAGCGUGGGGAGCAAACAGG
rnacentral:rRNA from 1 species